UACAGAGGUCCCGAGCGUUGUUCGGAUUCAUUGGGCGUAAAGGGUGCGUAGGCGGUCUUCUAAGUUUGAUGUGAAAUCCCGGGGCUCAACCCUGGAAUUGCAUUGAAUACUGGAGGACUAGAGUACUGGAGAGGAAACUGGAAUUUACGGUGUAGCAGUGAAAUGCGUAGAGAUCCGGAAGAACACCGGUGGCGAAGGCGGCCUGCUGGGCUAUGGCUGACACUGAGGCGCGACAGCGUGGGGAGCAAACAGG
rnacentral:rRNA from 1 species